rnacentral:rRNA from 1 species
GACAGAGGGUGCAAACGUUGCUCGGAAUCACUGGGCGUAAAGGGCGUGUAGGCGGGAAUGUAAGUCGGGCGUGAAAGCCCCAGGCUCAACCUGGGAACUGCACUCGAAACUGCGUUUCUUGAGUAUCGGAGAGGAAAGCGGAAUACCUGGUGUAGAGGUGAAAUGCGUAGAUAUCAAGUGGAACACCAGUGGCGAAGGCGAGUCUCUGGACAUUUCCUGACGCUGAGGCACGAAAGCCAGGGGAGCAAACGGG